GUUUUGGGAGUCGGGUUGGUGGGGUAAUUCGGCUGGACUUGGUUGUCAGGGGCCGGCGGCAGCGGCCACAGAAACCAACCCCAUCUUGCUUACCCUUCUGUCGACAGUUUAUUACUUCAUCACUGAGUCGGCAUUGAUGCAAACUGCUGCCUUGGAAUCGAUCCUGAAGGCGCCGGAUUUGCCAAGAUUGGAUUCAAUAAAUCCCUUUAUUAUGAUUUCAGUUUGGGUUGGGUCCGGUCUAGCUAGGUUCAACUUUCAUGAUGAGUACCAGAGUUUGUAUAGAGAGGAAAAAAAAUAGCUUAUCUAUAUGCGGAAGGCAAGACAGCAUACAUCCGAUCAUUCCUAGACCCUAAAUUGGCGGAAGUCUCUGGACCGCCUUUUUAAUCUGAGUAUGAAUUAGAUUAAAGUUAAUGUUGUGUUAGAUCAUGGUACAUGCAGUACAUAUGAUCGUUCAACUUGUGGAGAUGUCAAAACCUUUUUGAUACACAUGAGAAGGAAGGAUGGCUCUAAAUCCAUCAAGUAAAUAGAAAUA